rnacentral:misc_RNA from 1 species
GACGAAGUCGUAACAAGGUAGCCGUACCGGAAGGUGCGGCUGGAUCACCUCCUUUCUAAGGAGCACCACGAGAAACACUCCAAUUGGUGGGGUGUAAGCCGUGAGGGGUUCUCGUCUGUAGUGGACGGAAGCCGGGUGCACAACAACAAGCAAGCCAGACACACUAUUGGGUCCUGAGGCAACAUCUCUGUUGGUUUCGGGAUGUUGUCCCACCAUCUUGGUGGUGGGGUGUGGUGUUUGAGAAUUGGAUAGUGGUUGCGAGCAU